UACGAAGGGUGCGAGCGUUAUUCGGAAUCAUUGGGCGUAAAGGGUGCGUAGACGGUAUAUUAAGUCUGUUGUUAAAUUCUCCGGCCUAACCGGAGAACCGCAGUGGAAACUAGUAUGCUAGAGGGUGGAAGAGAGAAGUGGAAUUCUCGGAGUAGCGGUAAAAUGCGUAGAUCUCGGGAGGAACACCAAUGGCGAAGGCAGCUUCUUGGUCCAUACCUGACGUUGAGGCACGAAAGCGUGGGGAGCAAACAGG
rnacentral:rRNA from 1 species